rnacentral:rRNA from 1 species
UACAGAGGGUGCGAGCGUUGCUCGGAAUUAUUGGGCGUAAAGCGCGCGUAGGCGGUUACUCAAGUCGGAUGUGAAAGCCCUCGGCUUAACUGAGGAAGUGCACCCGAAACUGAGUAGCUAGAGUACUAAAGAGGGUCGCGGAAUUCCCGGUGUAGAGGUGAAAUUCGUAGAUAUCGGGAGGAACACCGGUGGCGAAGGCGGCGACCUGGGUAGAUACUGACGCUGAGGCGCGAAAGCGUGGGGAGCAAACAGG